rnacentral:lncRNA from 1 species
GACAGAGAGCAUCUCAGGGUAGAAGGAGAAGAAAGAUGGUGGCAGUCAGCAAGGUGCUUGGUCUGCAGAGAUGGAUGGAUGGAUGCUUUUCUCUCUCUCUUCCUUACAGCUCUGCCAACUUUCAAGUCUUUUUGAAGGAUAGUGGCACACACCAGUUCUGCUUGGAAGCUGAUGGUAAGUUCCAGGAAUCCUGUUUCUGUCUCCAGUAACAGAGUUAUAGGAGCUCACCUCCCCAUCAGGCUUCUUGUCCUUGAGGAGUUGAUCGCCUGCUGAGCUUGCCUUGCAACAGAAACCAGCUGAAACAAAGAAUUGCUCUUUGGGGUUUACCCAUAUAAAGGCAGAGCUGAAAAUAAAACUUUGACCCUGGAUCAGAAAUCU